AGUGAUCAGAAGUGAGAAUGUUGACAUGAGUAGCGACAAACAGGGUGAGAGACCCUGUCGCCGAAAGUCCAAGGGUUCCUGCUUAAAGCUAAUCUGAGCAGGGUAAGCCGGCCCCUAAGGCGAGGCCGAAAGGCGUAGUCGAUGGGAACCAGGUUAAUAUUCCUGGGCCAGGAGAUGGUGACGGAUCACAGAGCUAGUGAGGUCUUAUCGGAUUGAUCUUGCUGGUGAGUGGUUCCUGGAAAUAGCCCUCCAUGAGACCGUACCCUAAACCGACACAGGUGGACUGGCAGAGAAUACCAAGGCGCUUGAGAGAACCACAUUUAAGGAACUCGGCAAAAUACCUCCGUAAGUUCGCGAGAAGGAGGCCCCGUUUGUACGCAAGUAUGGGCGGGGGGCACAGACCAGGGGGUGGCGACUGUUUACUAAAAACACAGGGCUCUGCGAAGUCGCAAGACGACGUAUAGGGUCUGACGCCUGCCCGGUGCCGGAAGGUUAAAAGGAGAUGUGCAAGCAUUGAAUUGAAGCCCCGGUAAACGGCGGCCGUAACUAUAACGGUCCUAAGGUAGCGAAAUUCCUUGUCGGGUAAGUUCCGACCUGCACGAAUGGCGUAACGACUUCCCCGCUGUCUCAAAUGUGGACUCAGCGAAAUUGGAUUGUCUGUGAAGAUGCAGACUUCCCGCGGUUAGACGGAAAGACCCCAUGCACCUUUACUAUAGCUUCGCACUGGCAUCAGGAUUGUGAUGUGCAGGAUGGGUGGUAGGCAUUGAAACCGGGACGCCAGUUCCGGUGGAGCCAUCCUUGAGAUACCACCCUUCGCACUCUUGAUGUCUAACCGCGGCCCGUUAUCCGGGUCCGGGACCCUGCGUGGUGGGUAGUUUGACUGGGGCGGUCGCCUCCCAAAAAGUAACGGAGGCGCGCGAAGGUUGGCUCAGAGCGGUCGGAAAUCGCUCGUUGAGUGCAAUGGCAGAAGCCAGCCUGACUGCAAGACUGACAAGUCGAGCAGAGACGAAAGUCGGCCAUAGUGAUCCGGUGGUCCCGAGUGGAAGGGCCAUCGCUCAACGGAUAAAAGGUACGCUGGGGAUAACAGGCUGAUGAUGCCCAAGAGUCCAUAUCGACGGCAUCGUUUGGCACCUCGAUGUCGGCUCAUCUCAUCCUGGGGCUGGAGCAGGUCCCAAGGGUAUGGCUGUUCGCCAUUUAAAGAGGUACGUGAGCUGGGUUUAGAACGUCGUGAGACAGUUCGGUCCCUAUCUGCCGUGGGUGUAGGAUACUUGAGAGGAGUUGCCCCUAGUACGAGAGGACCGGGGUGAACGUUCCACUGGUGGACCAGUUGUCGUGCCAACGGCAGUGCUGGGUAGCUAUGAACGGACAGGAUAAACGCUGAAGGCAUCUAAGCGUGAAGCCCCCCUCAAAACAAGGUAUCCCUUGAGAGCCGUGGAAGACCACCACGUCGAUAGGCCGGAGAUGUAAGCGCAGCAAUGUGUUCAGUUGACCGGUACUAAUGGCUCGAUUGGCUU
rnacentral:rRNA from 1 species